CGGGAGGUGGCCGCCAGAACUAAGCUGGUUUUUUAUAGCGAUACUCCUAUUCACUGAUUAACGAAAUGACUAUCCAGAACGAAUUAAUCCUCUUUCUUUUUUUCAGAGUAACCUCUCUUCUCAGAAACAAGAAUAGGAACAAAAUAAAUAAUGAAAUAUAGAAUAAAACAAAUAAAUAAGAAAGGAUUCCUAUUAAUUCUGUUUUUCUACAUCUACAUGGAACUUUUAUCAUGAUUCAUGAAAAAGUCUAUAACUUUUUUUGCAAUAAAAAGAUAUGGGUUGAAAUAUCCAUAGAUAAAACAAGUAUUUUAUUGAAAGAAAAUUUUAAAUUAUUACUGAACAAAGAAAAAAAAUUAUUUAUAAAGAAAGGGAAUGGGAUCAAUUCGGAAGCCCUUUUGCUUUUUUUUAUUUGAGCAGACCGAAUUUCAUCGGUCUAAUUUUGUACUUUUCGAUAUAUUUUUAUUAUAUCUAUCCUCUUUUUAUUAUAUCCAUUCUCCCAUGUUAAUAGAUGAUACAGAAUUAAUGUUACUAUCGAAUUAGUUUUUACAUUUAUUUGUGGCCAUGUAGGAGCCGUAUGAAACGGAGGUCUCACGUACAGUUCUGGAAUAGGGGUGGGAAAAGUGAUGUUAUCUUCGACUAUAAUUAUCUAACAGUUCAAGCCCAGUCAAAAUAUGGUUUUUGGGGGAAGGCAAUCGCCUACAUGCACUAGGCCAAAUAGUCACCUAAGCGUCGUCUAAGGUUAGGCGACCGUAUGAAAAAGCUUGAUCUAUAUUGAAACCUGGUGAUACAGUAUCCCGAACACGGUCACAACCUACCAGCAACUAAAAGUCCGGAUAGCCUAAGAUGAGUUAAGGUAUCUAUUCUAGGGUUGGGGAGGUCCCAAGUCCAAUCUUAGGAAGAUCGACUUUCCUGAGGAUCGACUUCUGAAUAAAGUCGAUCACCAGGAAAGUCGACCCCCAGAAAGUCGAUCUCUGGAAAGUCGAUCUCGGGACCCAAUCUGAUCAGUUAGGCAGUUAGGCGGUUACUGCCCAAAUAACCAGAUUACCCCCAUAAGAACCUCUAUAAAUAGAGGGCACCGCCCACUCAUUAAAGGCAAGUCAUUUGGAGUAGAAGAAUUCCUAACGAAGCAGAGCUCUGCACACUUGAGUUCCCCGCUUGGCGCUUGCUUGCGCGUCUUGGAGUACUGGUCGGGUUUCACCCUCAUCAGUUGGCGCCGUCUGUGGUUCAAAGAUACUCACGACAAAAGCUCCUCGACUUUUUCGAAAAAAGUGAUCGACUUUUUUCCAAGUCGCCAGCUAGGGAGUCUUGCGAGAAAAUCAGCCAGCAAGGGAUCAACUUUUCAGAAGAUCAACUUUUUCUUCCAAGGAAAAAGUCGAUUCCUCAAGGAGCAAGACUUUCAGGCUACGACUUCCAAGGAAUCCUCCAAGUGCACUAGGGAUCGACUUUUUGAAGAUUAACUUUUCUACAAGCAAAAGUCGAACACUCUUUCCAAGAAAAGUCGAACACUCCAGGAUGGUGGUAACUCGAAACACUUUCCAAGGAGGAGGAGCAAAUUCUCAGGAGGCGCCAGAGCAACAGCCUGGCAACUCAAAAACUAAAAGGUCAGUGGGUCGACCACCCAAGGCCAAUAAGAACAAAAGGACUCCCACGGGACCUGAGGUUGAACCCGAAAGUGAACCCGAGCAAACUCCCCAAGCUUCAGUAGGAGGGAAAAUCUGAACAUCACGGUUCAGGCAAUAGCUGAGGCCAUCCGACUCCUUGUUGAGAAGGAGAAACCUUCGAAAUAACAACCUCAAAAGGAGAGACCCACGAACAGCAAGGAACCAAGGGCUGCAGCAUCAGAAACCACUCACGGGUUCAUAAAGAUGCCUAUAGAGAAGCUGAAAAAUGAAGGAAACCAUAACAAAAAUGAGCGAAAAAAUAAAGGAUAUUGAAAAAUCCAAAACAUCAAUAUACCAUUCAAAAGCUCAGACCUCAAAGCAGGCCAAGGCGCAACAGGAAGUGUCAAGUCAUAAAGCAGCACACUCCAGCGCACCAUUACCUCGCAAGCCAAAGGAGCAACCUAAACCUCUUCCUAAAAAACCCGUGUAUGAAGAAAGCACGGGAGACACAGAAGGAGGGGGCGAGGUCCCAAACUGGCUAGUAGGCAUGGAUGCCCUGCACAAAUCACUGAUGGUAAAACCAGCACCUCUGAAAUUCAGGCUACCCAAGCUACAGAUCUAUGAUGGGAAGAUGGACCCAGUAGACCAUAUAAAUAUGUUCGUGGGGGCAAUGCAAUGAGCCACAUCAAGGGAUGACAUCUUAUGUAGAGCAUUCCCAGGAACAUUGAAAAGACCUACAUACAGAUGGUUCGUCGAACUACAGUCAGGGAGUAUAACAAGUUUCGAGGACUUGAAAAAGAAAUUCGUCGCCCAACAAUGUGGAAACACAAGGGCCAGAAAGGGCACGGAAUCACUGUUUCAAUCAAGCAGAAUGGAGACACGCUUCGGAAUUAUACAACUAAAUUCACGGAAGCCAUGCAAAAUAUCUCCGAUUUGAAUACAACAAUCGCAAUAUACGCAUACUCAAAAGGGCUAGACAUGAACACACCAUUAGCAAUAAAGCUAAACGUUAGUAAUGUAAAAUACAUGGAAGACCUGCUAACAAAGGCCCAGAAAUAUAUAAAUUCUGAAGAGUAUGAGAAAGAAAAAGAAAAAGAGAGAGGUGUCAUAAGCAAUAAAAAAGCAUAUGAAGCACCAAAAAAGAAGUUUCGGAAAUUUGAAAAAGGAGAAUCAUCCUGGAGACCAAAACACGAUGGAAAGGUCUACCAGACAUCUGAGGAGUUUGGAAAAUCAAGGUAUCCAAAGUAAAAAGACUUAGGAUUCACGGUUUUCAGCACUCCAAAAGAGAAAAUCUACAAUAAAGAAAAAGGAAGAAUAAGGUUUCCUCAACCAGAAGAGUUAAACCCUACAACGAAAGAGGCCCGAACAAGGAGGAACAGGUAUUGCAAGUUCCACAAGGAUUACGGGCACAACACAGAAACCUGCAGGGAACUAAGUACCUUCCUAGACACACAAGUAAAGGAAGGAAAGCUGAAACAAUACAUAUACAAAAUAGAAAGGGGGCGACAAGGCUGCAAGGACCCAAAAAACAAAGGUAAGCGCCAACGCUCAAGGAGUCCCGAUUCAGACCACAAAAGAAGGGUGAUAAAUUUAAUCUUCGGUGGAGGAUCAGUAGGAGAAAGCAGAAGUUACUCGCGCAAAGUAAUGCAGACUACCACGGUACCAAAAUCUAAGAAAAGAUCGUACCCAAACGAGAAGAUAAGCUUUUCUGAGAAAGAUUUAGACAACGUGGUCAGCCCACAUGAAGAUCCACUAGUAAUACAAGUAGAUAUCGGGGAUGAUUUAAGUCUGAACAAAGUAAUGGUGGACAAUGGCAGCUCAGUAGAUAUACUAUACCUAGCUGCGUUCGAAAAAAUGGGUUACAAAGUGGAUCAGCUAACCCCGGCCAAGAAAGCCAUUUAUGGGUUCACAAACACAAAGGCCCCAGUAGUAGGAGCCAUCGAUCUACAGAUAUCCCUGGAAAAAGAAACGGAAGAGUAUCACGCACAGCACACUUCAUCGUGGUCAAUAUAGACUCUCCGUUCAAUGGGAUCUUGGACAGACCAAGCAUUCACGGUUUCAAGGCAAUACCGUUAUCUUACCACCAAUGCUUCAGGUACCCAAGAAAAGAUGGCAAAAUGGUAACAGUUUUUGGAGCACAAAAAGACUCCAGAAACUCGUACAGGAAGGCAACUAAAAUAGCCAAACCUAUAACCAUGUACAUCCAAGAAAAAGAGGAGGAAGAAGACACAACCUCAUCCAAUCAUGUUGAGGAGGUACAUCCGGGAAGUUAAAUAUCCAAGGUGGUUAGCAAACUCAGUCAUGCUUAAAAAAUCUAAUGGGAAGCAGAGGAUGUGUGUAGACUUCACAAAUCUCAACAAAGCAUGUCCAAAAGACAGCUACCCACUCCCAUCCAUCGACAGAUUAGUAGAUGCAGCAUCAGAAAAUGAGUUGCUGUCUAUGAUGGAUGCACAUUCAGGGUACAACCAGAUCCUAAUCUCAACCAGGUUUUCAAAAAGUAGAAAGGAAGAAAUGUCCUGGCAUAUGUAGAUAACAUUCUGGUGAAAUCCAAGAAAGCAGAUGAACACCUAAAUGAUCUGAAAGAGACCCUAAAAACUCUGCAGAAUUACGGGAUGAGGUUAAACCCUGCCAAAUGCAGUUUCGGAAUAAAAGAAGGAAAAUUUUUUGGAUUCUAUGUAGGGCACAAAGGGAUAAAACCAAAUCCAGAUAAAAUAGUAGCAAUAUUAAAAACAGCACCACCUCGAACAAUAAAGGAGGUACAAAAGCUGAAUGGAAAAAUCAAUGCCUUAAGUCGGUUCAUUUCCAAAACAGCAGACAAGUGCAAACCAUUUUUCCAACUGUUAAAAACUAGUCAAAAAGAGGCAAUAACAUAGACCCCAGAGUGUGAUGAGGCAUUUCAACAACUCAAAACACAUCUACCUUCUCUACCACAUCUAACUUCACCAAAGAUAGGGGAGGAAUUGUACGUCUAUGUAGCAGUUUCAGAAGAGGCUAUCAGUGCAGUUCUAAUAUGUCAAAGGGACAGUGAACAGAUCCCGAUAUAUUAUCGACAAUCAUCGAUUCUUUGAUUGAAACCCUGGCACGUUGAGCAGCUAAUUCCAUCUCCGCAGCCCCCAACUCCCCGUUGACUUUGGAGAGUUCCUGCUCCUUAUCUCUCAAGAGAUUCCUCUGAGCAGCCCAGUCCUCAGCCAACCUCUUGUUGGUGGCAGAAAGAGUAGAGGCAUCUGAAGCUUUUUGGGCAACCUCGCCUUUCAGAUCCUUGCAUCGGCGUUUCACUCUCUUCAACUCAUCUUCCAUCGGAAACUUGGUCCCAUAAUUCCGGGGGUGGGAACCUUGAUAACCCGGCAAUUGUACCUCCCGGGUAGAAGCAUAUUAGUACCGACCCCGGGAGGACUCCCCAGCAUAAUAUCUCCCACGCGGAGGAGUUCGUCGCUUGGGGGAGUGUCUCCUCGCUUUCCUCGGAGGAGAUGAGUCGGUCCUUGGGGGAGGAGUGCGUUUUUUGUUUCUUUUUCCCUCAGACCCCUCGGGCUGGACAUCCUUUCCAGCAGUUCUCUCUCGCUCCUCUUCCGGAGUACGAAAGAGGGAAGCAAGCCUGGCAGCAGCAGGAGACUGCACAGGAGUAGUCCCCUCAGGUACCUCCCCUUCCCCAGCUUGUUGGUCUUCUUCAGGAGGAGUAGGGGUGUGCGCCCUCGUAUAGGCGUUCUCAUGAGCACGGCGCCUAAAAUGUUGGGCAUCAGAAGGUUUACAGGCAGAUGCAUAAACCUUUGUACCCGUCUCGUUCUGCCCAACGCGUUCAGGGACACCUACAGGGUUAUGCAUAUAAAAAUCUGUAAAAAAUAAAAACAGAGUUAGUAAAAAUGCAUACACAUAAAAAACAAACAAAGGAAGACCUUGUCGGUUAAAGGUAUCAUCAAUCGCGUGACCGACAGGCACAGCGAUAGGAUGUAGGAAGGUCAGCCUUUGUACAGAAGCUCCCUCGUCCUCGGUCAGAACAGGACGGGGAGUAGGCUUACGAUCACUAAUGGAUGCAGGAAGAAGUCUACUAUCAGGACAUAGUCUGUCAUCCACAAAAAUAAACUCACUCUUAUUCCGUCUGGUCGGAGGAUCUUUCAAGAGAGCUGAAUGAGUAACAGAGGAGGCACGGCUGGCACAUGCAAUAAAAGGGCUGCCCUUCUUCGGAUUUUGAAAAGUGAAGAAGUGGAAGAACAGCCGAGCAGUUGGGAUUAUGUCAGCAUCCCUGAGAACAUUAAUAAAGCCCCUGACGUAAAAGAAAAAGGCGGCACCCAUCUGAGAAAUACACAAUCCAGAAUACAAAAGGAUUUCACUAAUUAGGGAAGGGAUCGGAAUGAUCGGAAAGUUAGUGAAGUAGAUACGGUGAAGUGCCAACAUAAAAUAGGGGGCACAUCACCGGUAUUCUCAAAGGGUAGGCCCAAUAUACUCUCUCUCUAAGCUCUAACUUCCUCAAAAUUCUUUGGGCGGCAUCCAGGAAAAGGGUGUUAGAGCAUCUGCCCGCAUUGGAGGAAAGGGGGUAGCCCGGAAUAUCAGUUAAGGAGACUGCACAAAAAAAACCAUAACCAGUCCCGUACUCGCCCCGGUCGAGUAUAGGGACAAUAUGAAAAUCGUUGCGAAUAAGGACGGACCACUGGCGCCAAGAGUCAUCCAUCUCCAAAUAAUAGCCAGCUCCUCGUUGGGAGGAAGGUCUUGCUGCGAGUUCUUGUCAGAAGACAUUAUAACAACCUGCACGAAGAACAUAAUAGUUAGCCUAAAUUAUGUUAAGUUGGCAAAAGUCGAUUCAGACUUCAGGGAAUCGAACUAGUAUAAGGGAAGUCGACCGCAUAAGUCGAUCCCAAGGAAAUCGAUCUCAUAAGUCGAUCCCAGGGAAGUCGACCUUCAGGAGACAAGGGUCUCAGGAAGUCGAUCCCAAUAAAUUCGAACCAAGGGGAAUCACUUCGGGAAAGCAAAGGCUAAACCCAUGGAAGUCGAUCCCAGUAAAAAUGGAUCCAACUUUGGAAAGUCGAUGACAAGGCGUCAAACUUUAGAAAGUCGGACCACAGUCCAAAGGGGAACAACUUCGAAAAAGGACCAACUUUUAAAAAAAAGUCAGACCCCAAGGAAGUCGAACCCGGUGCAACCUCAGAAGAGUCCGACGAUAAAAAGUCGGACUCCAGAAAGCUGCACCUCCCAGGCUCAAAUCGAAGCCUUACGCGCGCUGAAGUCGAAGCGGAGAAGCUGAAUGUCGAAGCGAAAAAACUGAAAGUCGAUGCGCAGAAAGUCAAUCAGUCGGAGCGAAGGAAGGAAGUGGGAAACAAGUGAACCCCCCUCCGCUAUUUAUAGGGGAAAGUCGAAGACGAACCGUCGCGGGCACUGUUCAUCCGGAUUCACCCGUUGGGCCGAAAAGCCCACGGGUCCGGCAGGCCCAAGACGACCCAGUCCGAGAAAAGUUCCAAAAUCCGACCAGAUGACAUCGACAUUUCAGGACAAAGGCAUCAACAUUUACCAAGGAAUUCGAAACCUUCAAAAUAGAAGGUCAGGAUCGACAUUCCAAUGAAAAUUCAGUUCGACAUUCCCAGAAGGGGGAUAGACGUCGACAUUUACCAAGGAAUUCGAAACCUUCAAAGUAAAAGGUCAGGAUCGACAUUCCACAGAAAAUUCAGUUCGACAUUCCCAGAAGGGGGAUAGACGUCGAUAUUUACCAAGGAAUUCGAAACCUUCAAAAUAGAAGGUCAGAAUCGACAUUCCAGCAUUAUUCUGAUCGACAUCUUUAGAAAAAGAUGAGAUCGACUUUUGAACAACAUCGACAUUUACAGGAAAAAUGAGAUCGACUUGUUAAAAAUUCGACAUCUUCAGAAAAUAAUAGAAUCAGCAGUCAAACGACAUCGACAUCCUCAGCAAAAGAUGCGAUCGACUUUUGAACAACAUCGACAUUUCCAGAGAGAAAUGAGAUCGACUUGUUGUUAAAACUUCGACAUCUUCAGAAAAGGAUAGAAUCAGCAGUCACACGACAUCGACAUCUUCAAAAAAAGAUGCGAUCAACUUUUGAACAACAUCGACAUUUUCAGGGAGAAAUGAGAUCGACUUGUUGUUAAAGCUUCGAUCCAGCUUUUCAAUCUCUCUCCGAAUAAAAUCAACAAAGAGACUCACAAGAAGAGCCAUGGAUGAAGGAAAAUGAGGACCUAAGGGUUCUAUUUAUAAACCCUAGGACAGCACAAAAGGACAAAAAAAGGAGUAAAAUCGACUUUUUGGCACAAUGACUCGACUUUUGGACCAAAGCAUCAGGAAUCGACUUUUUCACAAGGGAAGCGAUGCAAAGACUCAGGGAUCGACUUUUUGAAAAAAGUCAACGAAAAACAUUGGGAUCGACAUUUCACAAAAGUCGACCAAACUCAACAAGGGAUCGACUUUUUCUUCCCACGCAGAAGGGGUGCAGAAAAAAGAACCCUAACGAGUUGGAGUUGCGAAAGCGCACCAAGACAGGAGGGUGUAACACGAAAUGCUCCUGAGGAAUCGUGAAAGUCCACAACUCGGGCGACGAUACGGCAGCAAAAUGAACUGAGCCAUAUAAAGAUAUUUGAACUCAUACCAUUACUGGACGCAGUAACAAAGUAGGACGCCAAAUUAACUCUACCUACGGAAGAACGUGGGUAGAAAAGUCUUAAUGGUAACAGAGUUAGGAUACGUAUCCAACCCAAGAAAAAGAGUGAACCUCACCUACGGAAGAACGUAGGUUAGACAAGGGAAGUACUCAUGAGUGAACCUCACCUACGGAAACGUAGGUUAGACGGAGAUGUACUCAAAAGUGAACCCCACCUACGGAAAACGUAGGUUAGACGGGGGACGCAUUGGUUAAAGAGUGAACCUCACCUACGGAAAAACGUAGGUUAUACGAGGGAUUUACUCAAAAACGAACCCCACCUACGGAAGAACAUAGGUUAGACGGGGGACGCAGCGGCUAAACACACACCAUGUUCUACAAAAAACGUAAACAAAGGGGGGAAAGUAUUCAAGAGCAAACCUCACCUACGGAAGAACGUAGGUUAGACGAGGGAUAAGCUCAAAAAGUGAACCUUACCUACGGAUGAACGUAGAUAGACGAGGAAUCACACUCAGCCUCAGUCGCGGAAAGGCGAGCAAAAGGAGGGGGCAAGUAUUCAAAUAACAAUCCUCACCUACGGAUGAACGUAGGUAGACGAGGAAUCACACUCAACCUCAGUCGCAGAAAAGCGAGCAAAAGGAGGAGGCAAGUAUUCAAAAAAUAACCCUCACAUACGGACGAACGUGGGUAGACGAGGGAUCACACUCAACCCCUAUCCCAGAAAGGCGAGCAAAAAGAGGGGGUCGGGCACUCUCAAAACCCGCCACAGGGAAGAGAACCCAAACAGUGCUCAAAGAUAGCUCAGGCAAGGCGUCAAGGUGGGCAAGCAGGGUUCCGCGGGAAAAUCAGGCCAGACAGGUGCGCAAAGAGUAUGCUUCGGCUAGGACGAACCGGACAAUAGUUGGCAAAAGCGCGUGACAACCUCCGUGGAAGCAUAGAUACAACCUCGCAGGCGUAGAGAGGUGGGGAAUAUUGGUGAGAGAGGAUCUCGCAUCUUGGGACAUCACCAAAAACCCAUAUCCCAGCACGCAAAGAGGGGGGAAUACACUGAUAGUACAAGGUCCAAUACACAGACCAUAGUACUAAAAGACGUAUCCCAGAGUAUCUAAUACGCAGAGGAUGGGGGAGUACUGGUGAUACAGUAUCCCGAACACGGUCACAACCUACCAGCAACUAGAAGUCCGGAUAGCCUAAGAUGAGUUAAGGUAUCUAUUCUAGGGUUGGGGAGGUCCCAAGUCGAAUCCUAGGAAGAUCGACUUUCCUGAGGAUCGACUUCCCUGGGAUCGACUUCUGAAUAAAGUCGAUCACCAGGAAAGUCGACCCCCAGAAAGUCGAUCUCUGGAAAGUCGAUCUCGGAACCCAAUCUGAUCAGUUAGGCGGUUACUGCCCAAAUGACCAGAUUACCCCCAUAAGAACCCCUAUAAAUAGAAGGCACCCCCCACUCAUUAAAGGCAAGUCAUUUGGAGUAGAAGAAUUCCUACCGAAGCAGAGCUCUGCGCACUUGAGUUCCGGUCCGGUUUCCCGCGGAGUUUCCCGCUUGGCGCUUGCUUACGCGUUUUGAAGUAAUGGUCGGAUUUCACCCCCAUCAAAACCGAAAUAUGAAAUUGUAAAUGACAUCAAUAAUGGAAAACAAAAUGUCAUAUAGCCAAAAAUGUCAGUAAUUAAAACCAGCAGAAAUGAAGAGAAAAAACAUUUUGAAAAAAACCAUAAAUCACACAAUGAAUGAAAAAAACAAAAUUAGAAAUAAGAAAAUAUUGAAAUUAGAAAUUACAAAAAUGAAAACUAAAAUUUUGUUAAUCAAUAAA
rnacentral:lncRNA from 1 species